rnacentral:rRNA from 1 species
GAUGAACGCUAGCUGGAGGCUUAAUACAUGCAAGUCGAGCGGGAUUGGGUAGCAAUACCCAUGAGAGCGGCGCACGGGUGAGUAACGCGUACACGACCUACCUCUAACAGGGGGAUAGCCCUGGGAAACUGGGAUUAAUACCGCAUAUUAUUCUGAAUAAUAAAGGUUUGGAAUGAAAGCUGAGGCGGUUAGAGAUGGGUGUGCGUCUGAUUAGCUAGUUGGUAGGGUAACGGCCUACCAAGGCGAUGAUCAGUAGGGGGCGUGAGAGCGUGGUCCCCCACACGGGUACUGAGACACGGACCCGACUCCUACGGGAGGCAGCAGUAAGGAAUAUUGGUCAAUGGGCGAAAGCCUGAACCAGCCAUCCAGCGUGCAGGAAGAAGGCCCUAUGGGUUGUAAACUGCUUUUAUCAGGGAAGAAACCUCUGGAUUUACUCCGGAGCUGACGGUACCUGAAGAGUAAGCACCGGCUAACUCCGUGCCAGCAGCCGCUGUAAUAC